rnacentral:rRNA from 1 species
CCUACGGGUGGCAGCAGUGAGGAAUAUUGGUCAAUGGCCGGAAGGCUGAACCAGCCAUGCCGCGUGAAGGUCAGUGCACUAUGGGCGUUAAACUUCUAUUGUUCGGGAGCAAUAAUGGUCACGUGUGGCAAGACGAGAGUACCGUACGAAUAAGCAUCGGCUAACUCCGUGCCAGCAGCCGCGGUAAUACGGGGGGUGCAAGCGUUAUCCGGGUUUAUUGGGUUUAAAGGGUUCGUAGGCUGUGAGUUAAGUCAGCGGGGAAAUGCCCCCGCUCAACGGGGUGAAUUGCCAUUGAUACUGCCUUGCUGGAAUGCGGAUGCCGUGGGAGGAAUGUGUGGUGUAGCGGUGAAAUGCAUAGAUAUCACACAAAACACCGAUUGCGAAGGCAUCUCACGAAUCCGCGAUUGACGCUGAUGCACGAAAGCGUGGGUAUCAAACAGGAUUAGAUACCCGGGUAGUC